AUGAAGAUAAGAUUGAGGAUUUCCAAGUACAAGAUGUUAGGAAGGAGCCUUGCAAGAGAAGUAGGAUCUACGCUGAGCCUCUUCAACCUGCUAAGGUAAGUCACUGUAUGCAACUCAAUAGUUCAAUUCCUUGUUUGUUUCAGGCAUAGUUAAUUUUCUCUUUUCAAUUGCUUUAUUUGUCCUCAGUUAAUGAGAUGCCCAAAUAAUCAUGCCUGAUGUUUGGUACUUAUAUCACUAUUAGUUGACAUAAUUAAAGGCCUUACCAUUUAAUUACUCUGUCGAAGUGUGCCUGAAGCUUUGAAGUCUAUUAACCAACUAUUAUUGCAUGAGACUCACAAUCUAGUUUAUACUACGCUAAUGAUUGCAUAGUUUUGCCUGCUGUAGUAUGUUUGUAUGAAACCUCUGUUGUUCAUUAUGCUCCCUAAGACUUUAAUUAAGGCACAGAAUGGACAACUGCUUGCUUACUUAUACGCAACAUGUUGUCUAAAUUUGUAACUUGUCUGUGUUUUCGAUUGGGCCCCAACAUCAUGCUCCUCUGGUGAGCUAAGAGGGAUUUCUGUAUGUAGGCUGCACAGACUAUCUUUUUAUAAUUUUUAAAAUAUCGCCUACUUAUGCUUCAUGACGUGUAACAUUUUUUUAAAGUGACGUGUAACAUUAUUGUUAGUCCUGUUUUGCCAUGUAGUACAAAAUAGUGCCUUGUUCGCUUCACUGUUGUAACUAUAUUUUUGCCCUAGUCAUGUGUACUUACAGAAACAUUUCAGGAUGAAGUGACAUCAACACAAAGAUCUGCGAGCAGUGCGCCAUGGCCGUUACCAAAUGAUUAUGGAUUGGAAUUGGAAUGUGCUGAUGUUCUCGAGCAUCAACUAGAGGUGGCAAGACAACGUGUACAUGAUUGUCAACAUAUAAUCAACAAGUUGAGACUGGACAUGCAGGUAUUAGAUGCAGGAGUCAAAAAAAUGAAACAAGACAUUGAGGUAACCAUGAAGGAAUUGGAGAUUUUGCAGACUGAAAUUUGUGCUAUCUGAAUCCGGCCAAUCCUAUUUUCUGAAGAGAUUAUAGUUCAAAUGGAGUUAAGUUGAUGCGCGUCCAUGAUGUAUGAGCUGUAUUUGCCCAGUGUAUGUAAUUUGCUGUUUGUGUAUGCUUUAUUAUCACAUGUGCCGAACCAUAAUGCCCAGUGGGUAUAAUCGGUUGUAAUUUCUUUAUUGUAUAGUGUAGGAUUAUUCUACCUUUCUAUGCCUGGAUCUCUUUGUUGUAUAGUGUAUGCUUUUUAGAGCUGACAGUAUUGAGUAGGAUAAUUCUUUGAAUAUGCUAUAUCAUUCAAACGGGGGCCAACUCGCCCGACCAUGGCCCUUCACGGGUCGUCGGAUCCAUGGGCCUUCUACGUCUCAUAGGAUCCAUGGGCCUCCUACGUCUCAU
rnacentral:lncRNA from 1 species